UACGUAGGGUGCAAGCGUUAAUCGGAAUUACUGGGCGUAAAGCGUGCGCAGGCGGUUAUGCAAGGCAGAGGGGAAAUCCCCGGGCUCAACCUGGGAACUGCCUUUGUGACUGCAUAGCUAGAGUACGGUAGAGGGGGAUGGAAUUCCGCGUGUAGCAGUGAAAUGCGUAGAUAUGCGGAGGAACACCGAUGGCGAAGGCAAUCCCCUGGACCUGUACUGACGCUCAUGCACGAAAGCGUGGGGAGCAAACAGG
rnacentral:rRNA from 1 species